GACAGAGGAUGCAAGCGUUAUCCGGAAUGAUUGGGCGUAAAGAGCGUGUAGGCGGCCAGGGAGGUCCGUUGUGAAAACUCGAGGCUCAACCUCGAGACGCCGAUGGAAACCCCCUGGCUAGAGUCCGGAAGAGGAGAAUGGAAUUCCUGGUGUAGCGGUGAAAUGCGCAGAUAUCAGGAAGAACACCCGUGGCUAAGGCGGUUCUCUAGUACGGUACUGACGCUGAGACGCGAAAGCGUGGGGAGCGAACAGG
rnacentral:rRNA from 1 species